rnacentral:rRNA from 1 species
AGAACUCGGGUGAAGGAACUAGGCAAAAUGGUGCCGUAACUUCGGGAGAAGGCACGCUGGCGGUAGGUAAAGUCCCUUGCGGACGGCGCUGAAGCCAGUCGAAGAUACCAGCUGGCUGCAACUGUUUAUUAAAAACACAGCACUGUGCAAACACGAAAGUGGACGUAUACGGUGUGACGCCUGCCCGGUGCUGGAAGGUUAAUUGAUGGGGUUAGCGUAAGCGAAGCUCCUGAUCGAAGCCCCAGUAAACGGCGGCCGUAACUAUAACGGUCCUAAGGUAGCGAAAUUCCUUGUC